GCCUGGCUAGCUCAAUCGGUAGAGCGUAAGACUCUUAUAUCUUAGGAUAUCUUAAGGCUGCGAGUUCGAGCCUCGCGUUGGGCU
rfam:Dactylellina haptotyla CBS 200.50 unplaced genomic scaffold scaffold00270, whole genome shotgun sequence.